rnacentral:rRNA from 1 species
GACGAACGCUGGCGGCGUGCUUUACACAUGCAAGUCGAACGGGAUCAGCCGUUUUGGGGUUGGUUUAGUGGCGAACGGGUGAGUAACACGUGGGUAACCUGCCCUUGGCUUUGGGAUAAGCCCUGGAAACGGGGUCUAAUACCGAAUAUGACCUGUCACUGCAUGGUGGUGGGUGGAAAGAUUUUUUGGGCCAGGGAUGGGCCUGCGGCCUAUCAGUUUGUUGGUGGGGUGAUGGCCUACCAAGGCGACGACGGGAGCCGGCCUGAGAGGGCGACCGGUCACACUGGGACUGAGAUACGGCCCAGGACUCCUACGGGAGGCAGCAGUGGGGAAUAUUGCGCAAUGGGGCGAAAGCCUGACGCAGCGACGCCGCGUGAGGGAUGACGGCCUCGGUUGUAACGU